AAAAAAAAAAAAAAGGAAGAUGAGAAUUCCUGGACUCUUGCAUAAUGUUCCCCUCUUAACCACCAUAGCUGGAGACAAAUUUCCUCUUAAAAAAGAGAAGCAAACCUGUUUCUGGUUUAGGCUGGCAUUGGGAGGAGAAAAGAGAACACACUAAGAUAUGCCCAGCAGUAAUCUAAGCCUCCCUCAAGAAUCAAUCUCCAGAAAUACAAAAUACUAGCCCUGGGGUUGGAGAUGGUGCUAUGUUCUUUAUUGUUUGAAUUUCUAAUUCCAGGGGCAUCUUACAAAGCAGGAGACCUUAGGGAUACACAGAUGACAGAUCCCUUCACAGGUAUUUGAUUACAAACAGACUCCUGGGUCCCACUCCCCAGAUACUCUGAUUCAGUGGGUUUGGAGCCAUGCCUGGGAAUCAGAAUUCUUAAUGAGCUUCCCACAAAUUCUGAUAUGCAGCCCGGUUUGGAAGGCUGGCUUCGUCUUAUUUUUUACAUUUGAGGUAACUGAGGCUGGAGGUGGUGGUGUGGUUUAAUGUCUUGCCCAGGGCAUCGCAGAUCACCCCUGUAGCAGAGAUGCAGGUGGAAGCCCCUUCUCUUGACCCACUGGGGUGUACAUCCCAGAAAUAGAUGCGCUUUCUCUAAAAAACACCCAGCACAGUGGUCUCAGAGAAGCUCUCUGUAUUUCCUGGGACAUUUUCUCAGAUGAGAGCACCCCUCUUUAGGCCUGAAAAUGAGGGUCCCGGUGAGGUGGGUGUGUCCUAGGGACCUGCAAGCCUGUGUUCUGUGGGUGUGCGUCAGCCUCCCAUCCCACGCAGCGUCACCAACAGUGUUAUUGUAACUGCUGAUCCAACCUGUGGAGGCAGAUGGGGAACAAUUGUCUAGAAAAAAGCCCUUUCUGUAUCCACAUGGCCCUCAGGAUCCAAUGGCCCCUUUUGUUCUUGAACAAAGAAAAUUCAUAUGGGAUAAGCACUUUUGGCAUUAAAAUUUACACUGUCUAAGCAGUUGCUGGCUACAAUCAAUCGCCCAUUCAUCCCGGGCCUUCUUUCUCUCUAUUGUCUGCUUGACAGGCAAAAUGACCUUUCAGCAUUUCCAGCUGCAGUCCCAGGUUGCAGCUGUCUCUGUGCACACUGGCCUGGAAAAGCUACCAGAUGCUGAGACAAGUUUUCUGCAUGGUCACUGGUAACCUUUUCCCUCCAGUCCUCCACGCUGCUGCCUGGGACUCUUCCUGGUGAGCCCUUUAGGCUGGCCCCUCUUCAUCAAAACUCCUGCCGGCUCCUGCUGUCUGCCAUAAAACCCAUCCCUCCCCUUCCACCCUCCGCAGCCUGGGUUCCUGGCCCUCCUUUCAGGAAGGCAGCUGCUCCACGUGCAGCUAGGGCUUGUGACUUGGUGUGUUUGUACCUGUAAGUUCUGCUGCCUGAAAGAAAAACAUUUUUUGAAUAGGCACUUCCCAAAGCAAAAAGGACAGCAGGCCGUUUAGACAGAGAAAAUGUUCUGUUCAAGUUGCUGUUUUUCCUGUGAAGUCCCUCUCACUUCUGGCUUCUGCUCAUAGAUCCCCAAAAAUACCUUGUGUCGUGAUUACCUUGGUGUCAUUUGUCCUUCCCCAACCAGACUGCCAGGAGCCUGACAACUAUAAGUUGUGGUUCUUCAUUUCUUCACACCUAGCAAGGCUCUGACUCAAACAGGAAUUGAAUCAAUAUCAGUUGAACAAAUGAGGGAAUGAAUGAAUUCCCUUCGCCACGGCAGUAUUGCUUCUCUGGGAUAAUGAAGAGGGGCCGUCCUGGACAGAACUUGAAACGAUGAUUUGCAAACUGGAUUCCGAUGAUACU